UACGGAGGGUGCAAGCGUUGUCCGGAAUCACUGGGCGUAAAGGGCGCGUAGGCGGCUCAUGAAGGCUGUGGUGAAAGUCCGGGGCUCAACCUCGGAUCGGCCGUGGCGACUCGUGGGCUGGAGCACUGUAGAGGCGGGUGGAAUUCCGGGUGUAGCGGUGGAAUGCGUAGAGAUCCGGAAGAACACCUGAGGCGAAGGCGGGCUGCUGGGCUGACACUGACGCUGAGGCGCGAAAGCCAGGGGAGCGAACGGG
rnacentral:rRNA from 1 species